GGCACUAGGGAAGCAUGUUACCGACCACACUCGGGACCACAUUUUCCCAGAGGCUGUUUCUUGUGCUGUCUGUCCCCAGAUGAGGGAGACAGUGCCAUGUGUUAGGUGGGAGACGGCCGGACCUGUCCCUCAGGCCUUGAACUGCCCACCGUGCUGCUGCAGAUGGAGCGGAGCCGGCGGGCCCAGGAGCAGCUCCUGUGGGAUUUGGAGCUGCUGACCGGGGCGGGGCGGGGCUGGGCCUCUCCUGGCCCCCCGGGCCCAGUUCUGCGGUCUG